rnacentral:rRNA from 1 species
AGUGAACGCUGGCGGUAGGCCUAACACAUGCAAGUCGAACGGCAGCACAGUAAGAGCUUGCUCUUACGGGUGGCGAGUGGCGGACGGGUGAGGAAUACAUCGGAAUCUACUUUUUCGUGGGGGAUAACGUAGGGAAACUUACGCUAAUACCGCAUACGACCUACGGGUGAAAGCAGGGGAUCUUCGGACCUUGCGCGAUUGAAUGAGCCGAUGUCGGAUUAGCUAGUUGGCGGGGUAAAGGCCCACCCAGGCGACGAUCCGUAGCUGGUCUGAGAGGAUGAUCAGCCACACUGGAACGGAGACACGGUCAAGACUCCUACGGGAGGCAGCAGUGGGGAAUAUUGGACAAUGGGCGCAAGCAUGAUCCAGCCAUACCGCGUGGGUGAAGAAGGCCUUCGGGUUGUAAAGACCUUUUGUUGGGAAAGAAAAGCAGCAGGUUAAUACCCCGCUGUUCUGACGGUACCCAAAGAAUAAGCACCGGCUAACUUCGUG